rnacentral:rRNA from 1 species
UUCCAGACUCCUACGGGAGGCAGCAGUGGGGAAUAUUGGGCAAUGGAGGCAACUCUUACCCAGCAAUGCCGCGUGAAUGAAGAAGGUCUUCGGAUUGUAAAGUUCUUUAAUUGGGGACGAAAAAAAUGACGGUACCCAAGGAAUAAGCCCCGGCUAACUCCGUGCCAGCAGCCGCGGUAAUACGGAGGGUGCGAGCGUUAAUCGGAAUUACUGGGCGUAAAGCGCUCGUAGGCGGUAUGUCAAGUCAAGGGUGAAAUCCCCGCGCUCAACGUGGGAACUGCCUUUGAAACUGGCGAACUGGAGUGUGUGAGAGGAUAGUGGAAUUCCAGGUGUAGGAGUGAAAUCCGUAGAUAUCUGGAGGAACAUCAGUGGCGAAGGCGACUAUCUGGCACAUAACUGACGCUGAGGAGCGAAAGCGUGGGUAGCAAACAGGAUUAGAUACCCGUGUA